UGGGGAAUCUUGCGCAAUGGCCGAAAGGCUGACGCAGCGACGCCGCGUGUGGGAGGAAGCUCUUCGGGGUGUAAACCACUGUUGCCCGGGACGAACAUCAGGUUUCGACCUGACUGACGGUACCGGGUGAGGAAGCACCGGCUAACUCUGUGCCAGCAGCCGCGGUAAUACAGAGGGUGCGAGCGUUGUCCGGAAUCACUGGGCGUAAAGGGCGCGUAGGCGGCUCGGUAAGGUUGCGGUGAAAGCCCGGGGCUCAACCCCGGGUCGGCCGUGGCAACUGCUGAGCUCGAGCACUGUAGAGGCAGGUGGAAUUCCGGGUGUAGCGGUGGAAUGCGUAGAGAUCCGGAAGAACACCGGUGGCGAAGGCGGCCUGCUGGGCAGUGGCUGACGCUGAGGCGCGACAGCGUGGGGAGCAAACAG
rnacentral:rRNA from 1 species